AUUUUUCCAGCAUAUUCCAUUUCAGGCAGAGAGCAUCUAUCCUUUUCAGGCAAGUCCAGUUCUGGAAAUUCCAUUUAUGGAAAUUUUCCAUUUCUGUUUAAUUCCAUAUUAGGCAGGUUCUAACUUAAUGCAUUUAUGGUUAUUUUUCUACUGCAACAUAGACAUGUUAUAUAUGUUUUUGGGGUAGAAAAAUACCACCAAUCUAGUGGUUGCAUUAGUUUCAUCAUUUGAGGAAGUUUGCACACAUGUCAUUUUACAUCACAUUACUGUUUUGGCAUUUAUGUGGAUAAUUAUGCAAAUAUGAUAUGUGAUAACUUUGUACAUGAACAUGCUUCUUUACAUGCCAUAUUAUUGCUAGAAUUUGUUUCAUGCUAUGAAAUGCAUUGUAUUGAGUGCAACAAGCUUGCAAACAUGCCUACUCAAAUCUGUUUCUACCAUGUCAUGCUUAUUUUGCCAAGUCUGAAACUGUCAGAACAACUUGUCAUUUCGCAUUGAUGCUAUCAUCAUAUCUGUAUAUCCUUGCAGCAUGGUCAGUGAGGAAGGGCCCCACAUGUCAUACUCUCACAAGGGACCAUGCCCCACCUGUGUCAUCCCUUUUCCUUCUGUUUUUCUUUUUGUUUAUUUCAUUUUUCCAGCAUAUUCCAUUUCAGGCAGAGAGCAUCUAUCUUUUUCAGGCAACUCCAGUUCUGGACAUUCCAGUUUUGGAAAUUUGCCAUUUCGGUUUAAUUCCAUAUUAGGUAGGUUCUAACUUAAUGCAUUUGUGGUUAUUUUUCUACUGCAACAUAGACAUAUUAUAUAUGUUUUUGGUGUAGAAAAAUACCACCAAUCUAGUGGUUGCAUUAGUUUCAUCAUUUGAGCAAGUUUGCACACAUGUCAUUUUACAUCACAUUGCUGUUUUGGCAUUUAUGUGGAUAAUUAUGCAAAUAUGAUAUGUGAUAACUUUGUACAUGAACAUGCUCCUUUACAUGCCAUAUUAUUGCUAGAAUUUGUUUCAUGCUAUGAAAUGCACUGUAUUGAGUGCAACAAGCUUGCAAACAUGCCUACUCAAAUCAGUUUCUUCCAUGUCAUGCUUAUUUUGCUAAGUCUGAAACUGUCAGCACAACUUGUCAUUUCGCAUUGAUGCUAUCAUCAUAUCUGUAUAUCCUUGGAGCAUGGUCAGUGAGGAAGGGCCCCACAUGUCAUACUCUCACAGGGAACCAUGCCCCACCUGUGUCAUCCCCUUUUCCCUCUAUUUUUCUUUUUGUUUAUUACAUUUUUCCAGCAUAUUCCAUUUCAGGCAGAGAGCAUCUAUCCUUUUCAGGCAAGUCCAGCUCUGGACAUUCCAUUUAUGGAAAUUUGCCAUAUCUGUUUAAUUCCAUAUUAGGCAGGUUCUAACUUAAUGCAUUUGUGGUUAUUUUUGUACUGCAACAUAGACAUAUUAUAUAUGUUUUGGGGGUAGAAAAAUCCCACCAAUCCAGUGGUUGCAUUAGUUUCAUCAUUUGAGCAAGUUUGCACAGAUGUCAUUUUACAUCACAUUGCUGUUUUGGCAUUUAUGUGGAUAAUUAUGCAAAUAUGAUAUGUGAUAACUUUGUACACGAACAUGCUCCUUUACAUGCCAUAUUAUUGCUAGAAUUAGUUUCAUGCUAUGAAAUGCAUUGUAUUGAGUGCAACAAGCUUGCAAACAUGCAUACUCAAAUCUGUUUCUACCAUGUCAUGCUUAUUUUGCUAAGUCUGAAACUGUCAGCACAACUUGUCAUUUCGCAUUGAUGCUAUCAUCAUAUCUGUAUAUCCUUGGAGCAUGGUCAGUGAGGAAGGGCCCCACAUGUCAUACUCUCACAGGGGACCAUGCCCCACGUGUGUCAUCCCCUUUUCCCUUUGUUUUUCCUUUUGUUUAUUUCAUUUUUCCAGCAUAUUCCGUUUCAGGCAGAGAGCAUCUAUCCUUUUCAGGCAACUCCAGUUCUGGAUAUUCCAUUUAUGGAAAUUUGCCAUUUCUGUUUAAUUCCAUAUUAGGCAGGUUCUAACUUAAUGCAUUUGUGGUUAUUUUUCUACUACAACAUACACAUAUUAUAUAUGUUUUUGGGGUAGAAAAAUAUCACCAAUCCAGUGGUUGCAUUAGUUUCAUCAUUUGAGCAAGUUUGCACACAUGUCAUUUUACAUCAUGUUGCUGUUUUGGUAUUUAUGUGGAUAAUUAUGCAUAUAUGAUAUGUGAUAACUUUGUACAUGAACAUGCUCCUUUACAUGCCAUAUUAUUGCUAGAAUUUGUUUCAUGCUAUGUAAUGCAUUGUAUUGAGUGCAAGAAGCUUGCAAACAUGCCUACUCAAAUCUGUUUCUACCAUGUCAUGCUUAUUUUGCUAAGUGUGAAACUGUCAGCACAACUUGUCAUUUCGCAUUCAUGCCAUCAUCAUAUCUAUAUGUAUCCUUGGAGCAUGGUCAGUGAGGAAGGGCCCCACAUGUCAUACUCUCACACGGGACCAUGCCCCACCUGUGUCAUCCCCUUUUCCCUCUGUUUUUCCUUUUGUUUAUUUCAUUUUUCCAGCAUAUUCCAUUUCAGGCAGAGAGCAUCUAUCCUUUUCAGGCAAGUCCAGUUCUGGAUAUUCCAUUUAUGGAAAUUUGCCAUUUCUGUUUAAUUCCAUAUUAGGCAGGUUCUAACUUAAUGCAUUUGUGGUUAUUUUUCUACUGCAACAUAGACAUAUUAUAUAUGUUUUUGGGGUAGAAAAAUCCCACCAAUCUAGUGGUUGCAUUAGUUUCAUCAUUUGAGGAAGUUUGCACACAUGUCAUUUUACAUCACAUUACUGUUUUGGCAUUUAUGUGGAUAAUUAUGCAAAUAUGAUAUGUGAUAACUUUGUACAUGAACAUGCUCCUUUACAUGCCAUAUUAUUGCUAGAAUUUGUUUCAUGCUAUGAAAUGCAUUGUAUUGAGUGCAACAAGCUUGCAAACAUGCCUACUCAAAUCUGUUUCUACCAUGUCAUGCUUAUUUUGCCAAGUCUGAAACUGUCAUAACAACUUGUCAUUUCGCAUUGAUGCUAUCAUCAUAUCUGUAUAUCCUUGCAGCAUGGUCAGUGAGGAAGGGCCCCACAUGUCAUACUCUCACAAGGGACCAUGCCCCACCUGUGUCAUCCCUUUUCCCUCUGUUUUUCUUUUUGUUUAUUUCAUUUUUCCAGCAUAUUCCAUUUCAGGCAGAGAGCAUCUAUCCUUUCCAGGCAACUCCAGUUCUGGACAUUCCAUUUUUGGAAAUUUCCCAUUUCGGUUUAAUUCCAUAUUAGGUAGGUUCUAACUUAAUGCAUUUGUGGUUAUUUUUCUAUUGCAACAUAGACAUAUUGUAUAUGUUUUUGGUGUAGAAAAAUACCACCAAUCUAGUGGUUGGAUUAGUUCAUCAUUUGAGCAAGUUUGCACACAUGUCAUUUUACAUCACAUUGCUGUUUUGGCAUUUAUGUGGAUAAUUAUGCAAAUAUGAUAUGUGAUAACUUUGUACAUGAACAUGCUCCUUUACAUGCCAUAUUAUUGCUAGAAUUUUUUUCAUGCUAUGAAACGAAUUGUAUUGAGUGCAACAAGCUUGCAAACAUGCCUACUCAAAUCAGUUUCUGCCAUGUCACGCUUAUUUUGCUAAGUCUGAAACUGUCAGCACAACUUGUCAUUUCGCAUUGAUGCUAUCAUCAUAUCUGUAUAUCCUUGGAGCAUGGUCAGUAAGGACGGGCCCCACAUGUCAUACUCUCACAGGGGACCAUGCCCCACCUGUGUCAUCCCCUUUUCCCUCUGUUUUUCUUUUUGUUUAUUUCAUUUUUCCAGCAUAUUCCAUUUCAGGCAGAGAGCAUCUAUCCUUUUCAGGCAAGUCUAGUUCUGGACAUUCCAUUUAUGAAACUUUGCCAUAUCUGUUUAAUUCCAUAUUAGGCAGGUUCUAACUUAAUGCAUUUGUGGUUAUUUUUCUACUACAACAUAGACAUAUUACAUAUGUUUUUGGGGUAGAAAAAUCCCACCAAUCUAGUGGUUACAUUAGUUUCAACAUUUGAGCAAGUUUGCACACAUGUCAUUUUACAUCACAUUGCUGUUUUGGCAUUUAUGUGGAUAAUUAUGCAAAUAUGAUAUGUGAUAACUUUGUACAUGAACAUGCUCCUUUACAUGCCAUAUUAUUGCUAGAAUUUGUUUCAUGCUAUGAAAUGCAUUGUAUUGAGUGCAAGAAGCUUGCAAACAUGCCUACUCAAAUCUGUUUCUUCCAUGUCAUGCUUAUUUUGCUAAGUCUGAAACUGUCAGCACAACUUGUCAUUUCGCAUUGAUGCUAUCAUCAUAUCUAUAUAUAUCCUUGGAGCAUGUACAGUGAGGAAGGGCCCCACAUGUCAUACUCUCACAGGGGACCAUGCCCCACCUGUGUCAUCCCCUUUUCCCUCUGUUUUUCUUUUUGUUUAUUUCAUUUUUCUAGCAUAUUCCAUUUCAGGAAGAGAGCAUCUAUCCUUUUCAGGCAAGUCCGGUUCUCGACAUUCCAUUUAUGGAAAUUUGCCAUUUCUGUUUAAUUCCAUAUUAGGCAGGUUCUAACUUAAUGCAUUUGUGGUUAUUUUUCUAUUGCAACAUAGACAUAUAAUGUAUGUUUUUGGGGUAGAAAAAUCCCACCAAUCCAGUGGUUGCAUUAGUUUCAUCGUUUGAGCAAGUUUGCACACAUGUCAUUUUACAUCACAUUGCUGUUUGGCAUUUAUGUGGAUAAUUAUGCAAAUAUGAGAUGUGAUAACUUUGUACAUGAACAUGCUCCUUUACAUGCCAUAUUAUUGCUAGAAUUUGUUUCAUGCUAUGAAAUGCAUUGUAUUGAGUGCAACAAGCUUGCAAACAUGCCUACUCAAAUCAGUUUCUGCCAUGUCAUGCUUAUUUUGCUAAGUCUAAAACUGUCAGCACAACUUGUCAUUUCACAUUGAUGCUAUCGUCAUAUCUGUAUAUCCUUGGAGCAUGGUCAGUGAGGUAGGGCCCCACAUGUCAUACUCUCACAGGGGACCAUGCCCCACCUGUGUCAUCCCCUUUUCCCUCUGUUUUUCUUUUCGUUUAUUUCAUUUUUCCAGCAUAUUCUAUUUCAGGCAGAGAGCAUCUAUCCUUUUCAGGCAACUCCAGUUCUGGAAAUUCCAUUUUUGGAAAUUUGCCAUUUCGGUUUAAUUCCAUAUUAGGCAGGUUCUAACUUAAUGCAUUUGUGGUUAUUUUUCUACUGCAACAUAGACAUAUUAUAUAUGUUUUUGGGGUAGAAAAAUCCCACCAAUCUAGUGGGUGCAUUAGUUUCAUCAUUUGAGCAAGUUUGCACACAUGUCAUUUUACAUCACAUUGCUGUUUGUGCAUUUAUGUGGAUAAUUAUGCAAAUAUGAUAUGUGAUAACUUUGUACAUGAACAUGCUCCUCUGCAUGCCAUAUUAUUGCUAGAAUUUGUUUCAUGCUAUGAAAUGCAUUGUAUUGAGUGCAAGAAGCUUGCAAACAUGCCUACUGAAAUCUGUUUCUGCCAUGUCAUGCUUAUUUUGCUAAGUCUGAAACUGUCAGCACAACUUGUCAUUUCGCAUUGAUGCUAUCAUCAUAUCUGUUUAUCCUUGGAGCAUGGUCAGUGAGGAAGGGCCCCUCUCACAGGGGACCAUGCCCCACCUGUGUCAUCCCCUUUACCCGCUGUUUUUUUUUUGUUUAUUUCAUUUUUCCAGCAUAUUCCAUUUCAGGCAGAGAGCAUCUAUCCUUUUCAGGCAAGUCCAGUUCUGGACAUUCCAUUUAUGGAAAUUUGCCAUUUCUGUUUAAUUUUGUAUUAGGCAGGUUCUAACUUAAUGCAUUUGUGGUUAUUUUUCUACUGCAAUAUAGACAUAUUAUAUAUAUUUUUGGGGGUAGAAAAAUCCCACCAAUCCAGUGGUUAAAUUAGUUUCAACAUUUGAUCAAGUUUGCACACAUGUCAUUUUGCAUCACAUUGCUGUUUUGGCAUUUAUGUGGAUAAUUAUGCAAAUAUGAUAUGUGAUAACUUUGUACAUGAACAUGCUCCUUCACAUGCCAUAUUAUUGCUAGAAUUUGUUUCAUGCUAUGAAAUGCAUUGUAUUGAGUGCAACAAGCCUGCAAACAUGCCUACUCAAAUCAGUUUCUGCCAUGUCAUGCUUAUUUUGCUAAGUCUGAAACUGUCAGCACAACUUGUCAUUUCGCAUUGAUGCUAUCAUCAUAUCUGUAUAUCCUUGGAGCAUGGUCAGUGAGGAAGGGCCCCACAUGUCAUACUCUCACAGGGGACCAUGCCCCACCUAUGUCAUCCCUUUGCCCUCUGUUUUUCUUUUUGUUUAUUUCAUUUUUGCAGCAUAUUCCAUUUCAGGCAGAGAGCAUCUAUCCUUUUCAGGCAAGUCCAGUUCUGGACAUUCCAUUUAUGGAAAUUUGCCAUUUCUGUUUAAUUCCAUAUUAGGCAGGUUCUAACUUAAUGCAUUUGUUGUUAUUUUUCUACGGCAACAUCGACAUAUUAUAUAUGUUUUUGGGGUAGAAAAAUCCCACCAAUCCAGUGGUUGCAUUAGUUUCAUCAUUUGAGAAAGUUUGCACCCAUGUCAUUUUACAUCACAUUGUUAUUUUGGCAUUUAUGUGGAUAAUUAUGCAAAUAUGAGAUGUGAUAACUUUGUACAUGAACGUGCUCCUUUACAUGCCAUAUUAUUGCUAGAAUUUGUUUCAUGCUAUGAAAUGCAUUGUAUUGAGUGCAACAAGCUUCCAAACAUGCCUACUCAAAUCUGUUUCUGCCAUGUCAUGCUUAUUUUGUUAAGUCUGAAACUGUCACACAACUUGUCAUUUCGCAUUGAUUCUAUCAUCAUAUCUGUAUAUCCUUGGACCAUGGUCAGUGUGGGUGUUCAGUGAAUUUCUGCUAAGUCUGUAAAACUGUUAUCAUUUGCAUUUUUGCCAUGCUGUUUUAAACAUGUUCUAGUGAGUUUUAGAAGUAUCUCAUUAAUCAUUGUUUGUAGUGCUUGACAUGUAUUUCAAUGCCAUGCCAUUAAUUUUCAUGUUGCUGUGGCAUAUUUAACUAUGCAUCCAAGUUGUCAUGUUGCUGUUUUCAACAGAUUGCAUUGUAUAUGGUUUUGCUUGUCAUUUUCAAACCAUGCAUCCGUUUCCCGUGAUCUUUAUAUUGUUUUCAACCGAAAUCUUCCACUCUAUCCAGUGCCAUGCUUGGAUUACCAAGAUUGUGCCAUGUUGAUCAUUCUCUCCUUCCGUCUCGCUUGCACCCCUUCCGAAACACAUGAUAUGCAUAUGCACGUCAUAUCUUGCAUUCCAUGACAUGUCUUGCAUCAUGUUGCCUGCGCAUCGCACCGUGAUUGAUUGUUGUUUCGGUGUUUUGUUCUUGCUUUGGGUAGAGCCGGGAGAUGAGUUUGUGUCCGAGGACCCUGUCGAGUACGUUCACGAAGAGUGAGCUUUCAUUCCCACUGAGGACAUUUCAGGCAAGAUGAUCAUUACCCCCGAUAUCACUUCUACCUUUGCUUGCUAGUUGUUCAUUCUAUUGCUAUGUCGUGCUACCUACCACUUGUUUAUAUAGCCUCCCAAAUUGCCAUGUCAAGCCUCUAACCCACCUUCCUAGCAAACCGUUGUUUGGCUUUGUUACCGCUUUUGCUCAGCCCCUCUUAUAGCAUUGCUAGUUGCAGGUGUAGUGGAGGUUGUUCCAUGUUGGGACAUGGAUAUGUUGGGAUAUCACAAUAUCUCUUAUUUAAUUAAUGCAUCUAUAUACUUGGUAAAGGGUGGAAGGCUUGGCCUUUUGCUUGGUGUUUUGUUCCACUCUUGCCGCCUUAGUUUCCGCCAUACCAGUGUUAGGUUCCUUGAGUUUGCGUUCCUAACACGGUUGGGGUUUAUGGGCCCCCCUUGACAGUUCUCUUUGAAUAAAACUCUUCCAGCAAGGCCCAACUUUGGUUUUACCAUUUUACUAAUAACAACUAAAAUUUGCAUAGGGAGUAAUUAACCCGAGGAUUCUUAAUCAACAACCCGGGCCAGUGCUCCUCAUGAGUGUUGGUCCAAACCUGUCAACCGCUGGCGGCCACCAGGGGCAACCCUGGAUUGGUCUACUGGAAGUUUGGACAAUCCGAUCAUGGCCUGAGAUGAGAUACGCGCGGCUACUAUGAUGGUGUCGGCACAUUGGGAGGUCUUUCUGGUUUUGUUUUCCAUUGUCGAAAUGUCUUGUGAACCGGGAUUCCGAGCUUGAUCGGGUUGUUCCGGGAGGGGGAUUUUCCUCCAUUGAUCAUGAGAGCUUGUCAUGGGCUAAGUUGGGACACCCCUGCAGGGUUUAAUCUUUCGAAAGCCAUGCCCGCGGUUAUGUGGCAGAUGGGAGUUUUUUAAUAUCCGGUUGUAGUGAACUUGGCACUAAACUCUUUAAAAUACACCAACCGCGUGCGUUACCGUGAUGGUCUGUUUUCGACGAGGUUCGGGAAGAGAACACGGCGGGGUUAUGUUUGAACGUAAGUAGUUCAGGAUCACUUCUUGAUCAUUACUAGUUUGCGACCGUUUGCGUAGUUUCUCAUCUUAUUCUUGUAUUCGUAAGUUAGCCACCAUACAUAUGCUUAGUGCUUGCUGCAACUUCACCACUUAACCAUGCCAUUCCCAUUUAAGCUUUGAUAGUCUUGACACUGUGGGUAAUAGGAUUGUUGAGUCCCCGUUGAGUCUGAUGCAGUGAUGUAGGGUGGAACCCUAUACGGCCGAUCUUUCACGAAAGGAGCGGAUCCCAACUAAGAACACGAAGAACACGGGGAAGAACGGAGAGAAAACACAAGGGGAAACACUUAAGAACAAGUCCAAUCACACAUCCACUAGACAAUCAAACACACAAGAUCCACAAGGUACAUGAACAACAAAGGGAAAAAUACAAGGUAAGGUUCAUCUCCAUGAGGAGGUCUUGAAGGGGGCCACCCAAGAGGGGGUCUUGAAUCCAAGGGGGAUCUUCUCCGUAGAGGGGCCGCGGUCUCUCUCGUGGAGUAGAUCCGUAUGGAUGAGCAAAGCUCUAUCUCAAAUGAGCUAAUCCUUUGCUAACCCUAACUAGGAGGGGAAGGAGUAUAUAUAGUCUAAGCCACGAGGGGUUUGUGGGAAAGGGAUACAUGGGCCUCUGGCCCGACUCUGCACGCAGGCAGGCGCCGGAUGUCCGGGCUGGGGGGCGGAUGUCCGGUCAUUCGUGGGGCACCGGAUGUCCGGCCUGGCGGGGCCGAAUUUGUUCUUCUCUGGAUAGUUGUUGUCCGGAUUUCCGGGGGAAGGGCCGGAUGUCCGGGCUGGGCUGGAUGUCCGGGCUGGGCCGGAUGUCCGGGCAUGGGCCGGAUGUCCGGGGCCUGGAGCUGGCUUGCGGCUGGUCGGCUGUUGGGGAAGUUCCCAUGCGGCUGCCCAGGCGCCGGAUGUCCGGCCUCUGGCCCGGAUGUCCGGCCGUUGUAGCUUCAUCAGCUCCAUCUUCUUCCGUCUUCGCUUCCAAGCUUCCCUCGCGGAUGGUCUAGUUGUUCCUUGGCGCUUGCAAUCCUCCUCAACAUCCGUGAAGCUCCGACAAUACCUAUGCAUGCACACGGGAGAAGUGUCAAGUAGUAUACCAUCCUCGAAGGGGUCAAGUGAGCACGUGUAAAGGAGAUGAUUCACCUUUGUGUAUGUGAAGUAGAUGUCGCACGUGUCACUCGCCGAACGGACUCUUGACAUGGUGAUGUCCAUAGGAUGCUCCGCAUCAUCUCCCCUCCCUUGGGAAAGAUCCGACCUCGGACCGAAAACAAAAUCACCAUGGGAAAGAGAUGGCUUCGCCGUGUAGAAGUGGACGUUCACCAAGUACUUGUCAUCUUGAAGCUCGAAAUAGGCACUCUCCAAUGUCGCACGGUCUAGUGAUUCCUUCAAAAGGACUAAGGACAACAAACACUUGGAAAAACAAAUGUGGUUAUCGUUAGUGCAAAACCAAGCAUUCGAUAGGUGAGUCACCAAACAAGUGUCGUCCUCAUGCAAAGCAUAUGGUGUGACAAAGGAUUGUGACAUGGCAUGUAAGCAUAUCAAUCGAGCACAAGCAAAGAUAUCAUGGGGAGAAGCAUGUAAAUGUGAGGUAGAGAUGCAAUAUGUGUGUCAAGAUAAUAAGCAUCUACCUCAAGUUCAUAGCAAGCAUUCACAAAUUGCUCAAUCAAAGGUCUAUGGUAGGCAUAAGAAUCAUCCACAACACCAAAUAAAGUGAAGUGUCUAAACACAUGGGUCAAGUGCAAGACAAUCCAAGCAUAACGUGCAUAUGGUGUAGUGAAUAUAGUGUGGGACUCAACACAACAGAAAGAGCAAUUGUUCAUCAUGUGUGAGGCAAUCAAGUCAAUCAUGUGACAAGCAAUGGGAUAUGGCAUGUGUGAAGAAAUGACAUUGUUGCAACCAAACAUGUGAUAGGAGCAAGUAAUCCAAGAAUUGGAUGCAACACACAAGGCGUAUAUAUCAUGAUGCAUGGAACCGUGGAAAUCACAAGUCAAAGCAAGAUCUCUAACAUGUCUGCAAUCAAGUGGUCCAAGAUGAACAAUAAGUCUCAUGGCGCAAGCAACACAAGUAGUAUGAUCCGCAAUAUCCAUGUUCAAGAAAGAUGUCACCUUGAAGGCGUGUCCUUGUGCAUUCUUCACAAUGCCGAAGUGGUAGGAAAGGUGGUGUAGAAGCGAGUCGUGGUCAAAUGUAUGAGGCUCGCUCUCAAGAGCUCGAAUGGUCAACUCACAUGAAGCGGAAGUCGACACAAAGUCCAAGUAUCCUACACAUGCACAAAAGAAAGCAAAGAAUGUAUGCGCAUGGUAGAUAAACACAUCAUCCAUCAUGAUGGUUCUCUUCUCUUGCACAUAACCAUUAGAAGCACAAGUGCAUGAAUAAUAUGAUGCGACAAUGGCAAUACUCAUGGCACGAGGUAUAUGGUGCAAAGAAGGAAGGCAAGCAUGCUUCACAAGAAAUAUGUCAAAAUCUCCAAAUAUAUGCGAGAAUGCUAUUGGGGCAAACUCAUUAUCAAGACUAAAGGCAUAAUUGCACUCAAUACAUGGCAAAUCAUCUAGCAUGAGAGAGGCAACAUAUGGAGAUAUAUGACAAGAAGCAAUAACAAUCAUGUGCAAAGCAUGUAUAUAGUUGUCAUCAACCGCAUGAUGUGAGCAAGUAUGAAUCAUUGGUGAUGCAACAUAAGCAAGCAUAGUAAUCAAGUCGUGCAAGCUAGUAGUGCGAAGAUGUAACAUACUAGAGGAAAUCAUGGCAAUCAUGUCAUGUGAGCGAAUAAUAGUUAUACGCAAUGCACAUGACAUAUCGCAAGCACGAACACAAAGCAAGAUCCUAGUAUCAUCAUAGGCAUGGGGCACAAACCAAACAUGGCAAUAACAAGCAAUAUCUCCACCAAGCUUGCAAAUACACAUACAAGUACUAGAAUCAAUUAUCAUGUGUAAUGCAAAGCAUGGGUCACAAAUGCAUGGCAAAGGCAUAGGAAUGGGCAUAUCAUGCAAAGUGAACAUGGCAAGAUGGGCAUAGAAUAUGUAUUGGACAAUAACCUAUAGCCAAGUGAGGGCUAUGUAGAAGAAAUGCGCGAAGUCUUUGCGCGGAGAGAGCAGUGGGAAAGACAAUCCAUGGGAUCCCAAGUCAUCAUUGCUCUCUAGAGCUCGUUUUGUCAACUCAUGGGAUUGCGAGGUUGACAAGUAUUCAUGGGUACCUACGCAACAAAUACACAAAUGAAAGAAAUUGUGUGUGUGGUAAAUGUACACAUCAUCCAUCAUGAUGUGUAUGUGCACGUGUGAUUUAGCACAAGAUAAGCAUCGCUCAAAGAAAUUUGAUGCAUGGUAUAAGAACAUGUCAUCCAUCAUGAAAGAAUAGUUGUUAUGUAUAACUCGAUGGGGACGCAAAUUGAGCAUACAAGUAUAGCAAGUGUGUGGCACAACAAUAGCAUUUUUAUUCGUGGGGAGCAUAUUGUGCACACAAGUAUUGGGAUCAUGUAAUGAAUGGGACGAAUCAAAAUCUCCUAACAUGUAUGAGGAAACUAUGGGGGUCUCCUCAUGAGCAAUAUUGGAAACAUCAUAUGGAGAAAAUGGACAACAACCAAAACAAUGCAUAUCCGAUGCUAGGUGGUCAUGGCAUGGCAUAUGAGAUAAAUGAUGCAAAGGGAGCAUAUCAAUAUCAUCACAAGAGAAACAAAUGCCAAUAACCAUGGGCUUGUCAUCUAUGCCAUAAGUGCAAAUUGGGUUUAUUUUAAUACAUAUGCAUAGUCACUACGAAUUGUCAAACAUGAGAUUGCAAAUAUGACAUAUGAUUGAUAUCAUGCAUAGCAUAUGACAAGUCAAGCGGAUUGUCAAACAUGAUGUGACCUAGAGAAUUGUCACAAGAAAUCCUAUGUAACAUGGCAUCACAACUAAUAGACUCCACAUGGCAAUCAUCAAACUCAUCAUAAAUGGGUAAAUCAUCGCAUGGGGAAAUCAUACUAGAAUGAAGCAUUGUAAUAGGUUGAUCAACAUCAUGCAAGCAAUCAAUGUCAAGAAUGUCCACUAGUGGGACUAGAGCAUCACCUUCACCUAUGUUACCUUGUUCAUUCCACUCAAGUGGUGUAGGUGAGGUGGGAAAGAUCAAAUGGUGGUCAUCAUCAUCAACUUGAUGGAACCAUGUGGGGGUGCAUCAUAUUCCACCAUGGCCAUCGUCUUGUCCAAAGGGAGGACGAAGUCGUCGAGGAUCGACGCGUCAUCAUAAAUGGGACCUAGCACCAAAUGAGAAGACACAAUAGAGGCAGAGGUCAAGUUGUUAGAAAUGCAAAUGGCCUCAUGAGACCUAUCAACUAUCUCACUCUCUAUAUGUGGUGGCUCACGCACUCCCUCAAAGUAGGUGCACUCAAAGUCACAUACGGUAGAGUCAUUCAUCUCACUCAAGUGGUGGGGGUUGCGGCUCUCCUCACAUGGGAAUUGGGGCAACACAUCAUAUAUGGGGCUAGUGGUGAAGUCACUCUCACUCUCAAUAUGGUGGCUAAAGUCACUCAAGUCAUCAUACGUCGCCGUGGUCGAGGUGAAAUACUCAACCAUCUCAUCGCCGUCACCAUGGAUGAAGGUCGAAGAUGGCACAUCAUCACUCUCCUCCAUGACCGAAGGGAAAAUCCCAUGCUCGAUCAUCUCGUCACCGUCGCCAUGGAUGAAGACCGAAGAUGGCACAUCAUCACUCUCGCCUCCAAAGAUGGAAGCAUCAUCCUUGCUCGUCACCAUGUCGCUCGCCUCCAAAGCUUGGUCCUUGAAGGUCUCCGUAGUUGUACUCGUCGCCACACCGUCUUGAAAAAGAGUCGUGGAGGGCUCGGCAUCAUCAAUGCCACAAAGAGGGAUGGCGGUGAAGUCGAACUUGGGAGCAUCGUCUUGGAGCUCAUCGGGCUUGGACAUCUUGGUGGUACUAGCCUCAUGCUCGUCGUCUUUGAGUUUGGUCUUCGAGAAGUGUGCUUGGGGUGGAGAAGCCUUGCCAUUCAUGAGUUGUUGUUCCGCCUUGAGAGCACCAAUGUAGUUGUUGUCGAGGGACUUGUAGUUCUCGAGGAAGAUAGUCUUGGAGAUGUCGUUUUUCAAUCCCAUCAUGAAGUGGAACUUCAUUGACAUGGGGUCAUCCACACCGACUCGUCGCAAGGCAUGCUUCAUCUCCUUGAAGUACUCGUGGAUGGACUUGGAUCCUUGGGUGGUGUUCUCCAGUUGGCAUAGAAGUUGUUCCGUGUAGGUUGGAGGCACAAACUCUCGCCGCAUAGCUCUCUUCGUCUUGGGCCAACUCAUGUCGUAGGUCUCCGAAGGUGUGUGAAGCCACCAUGUGGACACGUAGUCGUGGAAGUUCAUUGUGGCGCACUUCACUUAAUCUUCCUGAGGAACUUGAUGUAGCUUGAGGUAGUCGUCCAUUAGGCGCUCCCACUCGAGAUACUCCUCGGGUUCUUGAGUCCCAUAGAAAGGAACCUUGUGGUCGGUGUCGAGGUCGUAGUAGCUCGUGGAAGUCGCGGACUUGAGCUUGGGGAGCUUCUCUUGAGCGUAGUCUUGAGGUGCUUGUAGGCGAAGAUGUCGUAUGUCCGUAGGUGAAGAUGCCUUGAAGUCGCUUGGCGAAGAUGCCAAGGGAGAUGGUGAAGUCGUUGAGCGGUUGUUGGUGUUGAGCUCUUGACCUUCACGUUCUUGUUGGUGAUGGUGUCGAUGCCGAUGUGACAUUGCCGGAGAUGGUAGCUCGGAGGCAUGUGUACUUGAGCGUCUUCUCGAAUAUGAUGAAGAUCUCAUGUAGAACUUGAUGAGGGCUUUGAUCUCAUCCAUUUGAGCUUGCAUCUUGGCGUCGGUAGAGUUAUUCGUGGCAUCGAACUCGUCGUUUUUGUUGUAGACCGAAGGUGAAAUGCCUUGCCUAUCCAUCACAAGACUCGAGUAGAGGUGAGUAGGAAAUGAGAUAAACAAUACCAAGUUACCUUUUCCCAAAGUUGAGUAUGUAUCCCGUUUCACUCAAUGUGAGAUGAAAGAAUAGUGGAAUUGGUACUGGACUUGUUCACUCACACCUACAAACUAAAGCUUAUGUAGUAGCUCGGUGAGGAUAGUGGCACAAAAAUUUAAUGCAAAAUGUUAGCAAGAGUCAAUAAUGUUGAAAGAGAGUCACAAAUUCGCAAGUGAAACAAGCCAAUAGCAAUAUGUGGCACACGGAAACGCACACACGGAUAGAUAAAUGGGGUCGUGCAACCAAGGAAUGAGCACAAAAUGUGGAAUCCACGGAAAACGCUCGUGUUGCACAACUCAAGAGAGACGCUAGCACAAUUGCUCAAUAGGCGGAUACGACACUUUUGCACAACCUAUAAGAUGCAAAAUGGAUAAACUUUCUAUCCCAAGUAUGCUAUGUAUGUAUGGUUCUCGGUGUUUCUCUCAAGAUGAUCCAAGAUGAUCGGAUAUGACAAUCUUAUGCAAUGUGGUAUGAUGCUAUUGCACUUGCUUACAAGCUCUUUGUUCACUCUUUUUCUUUGCUUAAAAGCUUAUUCUUUUUUUUGUAUGACCACUUUGCGAAAUGCACAAACCAAGAUAGCAAUUGUGUAUAUGCGGGAACAAACUUGAGGCGCACGAGACUAUAUGAUACCAAUAUGAUAUGGUAUGUAUGCAAUGUAUGGUGUAGAUCACUAACGUGCACAAGUAACAUUGCCGGCAAUACUCAAAUGGCUAGUCUCGAUAGGCAAGUGACGCAAAAUGGGCUAGGGGUUAACAAUACAAUGGCAAGGGAAUAUACAAUGGAGGGAUACCACGAUACCAAGAUGAUAUGGAGGUUACUGUCGAAGGUUUCUUGUUUGUAAGCCAUGGACGGAUGAUGGUGAAGUGGUCAAAGUCGAUGACGACCUCGUGGCGAUGAUGAGUGGCGGUGUUCUUGAUGUAGAUACCAAGAUGAAUGGAGACUCGUCCCUAAGUAGCCGAAACACCUUAGGAAACGGAAAAACCGCGAACUCAAAAUCUCAAAUGUCAAAUGUCAAAUGGUGGUAGCGGGAAUGUGGUGGUGGUUUUGCGGAAGCUCCAUGGGAUUGCAGAAAUGCAAUAAUGGGUUUUGAGAUGCAAUGCGGAAGUGGAGGGUAAGGUGGUGGACUAUACACGGUGUCGGAGUUGGAAGUCGACGUCCCUAAGUAGUCGAAAUACCUUAGGAGACACAACUCACAACACAAACAAAAUUGGGUUAAGUUGGGUUGGCGGAAGUGUAUGGUGGGCAAGCCUAUGCGCAAGUUAUGGUGGUGGUUGAUUAAGAAGCAACCGUCCCUAAGUAGCCGAAACACCUUAGGAGACUCGAAUCGCAACUCAAACAACCACUAAAGCUAUACGGAACAAAAUUGGUUAGGUUGCGGAAGGCUAUGGUGGUUUUACGGAAGUUAUGGUGGAAGCCCUAGGCAAAGAUGCCAAAGUGCCAAAAUUUUGAUGGAGUCAAAUGGUGAUGUAACCUAUCUAUUUUGAUAGAGGAUGUCAAUAGCUACUGAACGAGCAAAAGAACGCGAAAAUCAGACUCCGGAUGUGAAAGUUACGGUCGAAACGGUGAAACACGAGAGGAUGAUGCUCCAGGGGUCGGACAUUCGGGGUCAGGGCCGGAUAUCCAGGACCUGAUGUCCAGUACGUUGCGCGAAAAUGCGCUCCAGGAGCUGGAUGUCCGGCUUGGGGCCCAGAUGUCUGGCCUGAGGCCCGGAUGUCCGGCCCAACGAUUCCAGAUCGGGAUUUGGACUUCGAAACUCGAUUUGGGGCGGAAAUGGAUGAUUUUGAGGGCAAAAUUGGGGAGAUUUCGUGGAUGGAAAGUGGGGAAACUUGGGGAAAUGCUAGAUCUUGAAACCAAGCAAAUCCAUGGAUCGAAAUCAGCAAAACAUUAUCAAACCAACAAAUCACAAAAAAAUUGGGGGCUAUUUUUGUGGGGAAUUUUCGAAUUUGGGACGAAAUCAACAAAACUAGGCUAGAAAACAAAGGGGUAGGGGCUCCAAAUUCAUGAUCAACCUUGCUCUGAUACCAAGAUGAUGUAGGGUGGAACCCUAUACGGCCGAUCUUUCACGAAAGGAGUGGAUCCCAACUAAGAACACGAAGAACACGGGGAAGAACGGAGAGAAAACACAAGGGGAAACACUCAAGAACAAGUCCAAUCACACAUCCACUAGACAAUCAAACACAGAAGAUCCACAAGGUACAUGAACAACAAAGGGAAAGAUACAAGGUAAGGUUCAUCUCCAUGAGGAGCUCUUGUAGGGGGCCACCCAAGAGGGGGUCUUGAAUCCAAGGGGGGUCUUCUUCGUAGAGGGGCCGCGGUCUCUCUUGUGGAGUAGAUCCGUAUGGAUGAGCAAAGCUCUCUAUCUCAAAUGAGCUAAUCCUUUGCUAACCCUAACUAGGAGGAGGGGAAGGAGUAUAUAUAGUCUAAGCCACGAAGGGGUUUGUGGGAAAGGGAUACAUGGGCCUCUGGCCCGACUCUGCGCGCAGGCAGGCGCCGGAUGUCCGGGCUGGGGGCCGGAUGUCCGGCCGUUCGCGGGGCGCCGGAUAUCCGGGGCUCUCGCCGGAUGUCCGGCCUGGCGGGGCCGAAUCUGUUCUUCUCUGGAUAGUUGUUCUCCGGAUUUCCGGGGGAAGGGCCGGAUGUCCGGGCAUGGGCCGGAUGUCCGGGCAUGGGCCGGAUGUCCGGGGCCUGGAGCUGGCUUGCGGCUGGUCGGCUGUUGAGGCAGUUCCCGUGCGGCUGCCCAGGCGCCGGAUGUCCGGCCUCUGGCCCGGAUGUCCGGCCGCUGUAGCUUCAGCAGCUCCGUCUUCUUCCGUCUUCGCUUCCAGGCUUCCCUCGCGGAUGGUGUAGUUGUUCCUUGGCGCUUGCACCUCCUCAACAUCCGUGAAGCUCCGACAAUACCUAUACAUGCACACGGGAGAAGUGUCAAGUAGUAUACCAUCCUCGAAGGGGUCAAGUGAGCACGUGUAAAGGAGAUGAUUCACCUUUGUGUAUGUGAAGUAGAUGUCGCACGUGUCACUCGCUGAACGGACUCUUGACAUGGUCAUGUCCAUAGGAUGCUCUGCAUCGUGCAGGAAAUGCCACUGAGCUCCAGUGGGAGUUUGACGAGGACCGUGGUCUUUCUAUGUUACCUAUCCGGACGAUUAGUAGAGGACCUAGUCAGAGUAUCUGGGGAUAGUAGCAGGGUGGUGUUUUAUUUUUAUCUAGUCCGUAGUUGGACUUUACUAUAUGUAUGGAUGAUUGUAUGAUUGUGAUAUUUAUGCUAUUUGGGGGCAAGUGUAUGCCUGGAUCUCAUAUUCUAUCUAUUCACUUGGUUGUAUGUAUUUGUAUGCCACCUUGCUACGCGCUCAAAAUGCGAUUGCGCCCCAAUCAUGAGUUCAUCGCGUGAUUGGGAUAGAACCGCAUCUUGGGCGUUACAAGUUGGUAUUCAGAGCCAUACCUACUAUAGGAUCCCCUGCUUAAUCGAACCGCUGACGAGUCUAGAACAAAAAAAUUUUUGAGUCUCAGUUAUAUCAGAGAGUAGGAAUUCUUUUUACUCCUUAUCCCCUUCGUCGCUCUGGUAAGUACUCGUGACGUAGGUGUUUUCCUCACUCGUCUAUCCUUUUUCACUGAAUUUUUUUAGGAGCACGCGGGUAUUGUGGAAUGUUUUGAUAUCAUUGUGACGGGGAUUCUAUUUUGGUGCUUCCUGACAUUUAGGGGUUGUGGCAGUGUCCCGGGGAGUUGAGAACCAAGGUGUUUUCGUCACUGUCGUUUCAGUUCCGGAAUACCAGAGGACGCCGACAUCGAAAGCGCUUCUAUGCUACUAGUGGUGAGAGUAGUUUGGCGACACCCAGUACUGGGGAGAGCGACCAGAUGUAUUGCCACAGCUAGUAUAAGGGAUGUUCUUUCGAAGGUCUGAGGUACACGAUUUCCGAAGGUUUCUUGGUUAUGUGUUGACGGAUGGAUACGGUUGGAGUGCAGGGCUUGUUAGUUGUGUGAGAUAUUUGUGCCUCCCUGUAUCCCAACCACCAGAUUGCAUAACCAGAAAGUUUUGGGAGUUAAUAGGUGGGAAUUCAAGUAGCUCUAGGUUAUCUUUCUAACAGAUAUUUGGUAUGAGAUUGGGGAAUCUCUACCAUGUAUUUGUUCCAGUUGUUACCUUGUUGUUUUAUUCUUCAACCUCCUUCAAGUGGCUUCUCAUUCAAUGGUUGUAUCAUAUUAACUUUGGAAUGCAUUCGUUCAAUCUUUCUGUUCGGAUGCUUAUUCUGAAGACUACAUUGCACAUGUCUAUCCUUUGAUGCAGCUUAUCUAUCAUCUCUAUAGUGAUUCUAACGGAUGUCAUCUUCUUCAGGAUGGCUCCCGCAACUCGCAUGAAUCCAAACCGUGAUGAAGGAGAGCAGUCGGAACCUCCACCUCUGCCACCUCCUCCGCCUCCGGAGGCAUGGCAAGCUGUGAUGGCGGCCACCAACGCCAAUACCCAGAUGCUUCUUCAGCUCUUACAAGAGCGCAACCAAGGCCAAGGCAACCAAGGAAAUCAAGGUCAAGGGCAAUUCAACAGUCAACCUCAAUUUGCUACACUCAAUCAGUUCCUCGCAAAUCAGCCAAAGUUGUUCAGCGCUUGUGUUGAGGCCAUGGACGCUGAUGAUUGGCUCGUGGACAUCAACAAGCAUUUUGAGUGCAGCCAUGUCAGACCUGAGGACUACGUCAAGUUCGCUUCCAUCCAGCUCAAGGACCAGGCAGCUGAUUGGUAUCAGCGGUACAAAGAUUCCAGAGGGGGUCGAAUGAUUAGCUGGACUGAUUUCUGCCGGAAUUUUCGAGCUCAACAUAUUCCAACAAGUGUUGUCGAGAGCAUGCGUGAGCAAUUCCGCAAUCUCAAGCAAGGCAACAUGUCUGUGUACCAAUAUAACGUCAAGUUUCAGAAUCUUGCUCGGUACGCAAGGCAAGAUGUUCCAGAUGAGAAGAGUAUGAUCUACUACUUCAGGGGUGGCCUCAGAGAGGACCUUCAGCUAGCUCUCGUUCUUGUGGAGUCUACUCAGUUCGAUCAGUUCUAUAACAUGGCUCUAAAACAAGAAGCAGCUCAAUUCAAGUGCGAAACUUCCAAGAAGAGACUCAGGGAUGCAGUCCACUCUUCUUCUUCCUCUCAAGUGGUCUCAAAGUAGCAGAAGUUCUGGCUUCUUCCACCUCCUCCGUUUCGUCUGCCCUAUCAGCAGAAGCACUUAGGUGGUCGUGGAUCUUCCCACCCACCCAAUCCAAGAACAAGUCUCAGUCUCAGGCUCAGAGGACAGGCGGUCCUCCUCCUCCACCUUUUCGCCCACUUUCAGAGGUCACUUGUCACAAGUGUGGUAUGAAAGGGCAUUACUCCAACAAGUGCUUCAACCAGAGGCGCCUUCCGCCUCCUCCUCCUGUCAGGUCAGCAAGCAAUGUAGUUGUCAAGCACAAUCCCAAGUAUGCUAAGGUGAACAUGAUGAAUUCAGCUCAAGCAGAGGAUUCUUCAGAACUGAUCAUGGGUACUAUUCUAGUUAACUCUAUUCCUGCCAAAGUAUUGUUCGAUUCUGGUGCAUCGCAUUCUUUCAUAUCUUUUGCAUCAAAGCAUCAGUUUUUGUUCCGAGAGUUGCCUAGGUCUUUAACUGUGGUUUCACCGGGAUUGCAAAUGAAUUCUCGCUACAUGGUUCCGGAUGUCACCGUCAAGAUGAACGAUUAUUCUUUUCUGGCUUCUCCAAUUGUUCUCGGCAAUUCCGAUAUUGAUCUCAUUCUUGGCAUGGGUUGGCUUUCUAAGCACAAGGCUUUUCUUGAUUGUGCGGCCAAGGAGAUUAAAUUCACUCAUCCUUCUAAAGAUGUGAUUAUGUUUGCGGCUCGUGAUGACACCAUUCGGUUGUUCUCUCUCAAUGAGAAAGGUGAGAUCAACACUAUUUCUUAGAUUCCAGUUGUGUGUGAGUAUCAAGAUGUCUUUCCAGAAGAGCUUUCGGGUAUGCCUCCUCACCGGCCAGUUGAGUUCGUUAUUGAGCUUGAGCCCGGUAAAGAACCCGUUUGCAAGCGCCCAUACAAGCUUGGGCCAGAAGAGCUGAAAGAAUUGAAGAAGCGGCUCGAUGAACAAGAACGUCUGGGUCUGAUCAGACCAAGUUCGUCUCCUUGGGGAUGUGGUGUUCUCUUUGUCCAAAAGAAAGAUGGCAUGGAACUACUUUGCAUCGAUUACCGCCCAUUGAAUAAGAAGACAAUCAAGAACAAUUACCCACUUCCCAAUAUCAAUGAAUUGUUCGAGCAACUCAAAUGUGCAAAGGUGUUUUCCAAGCUUGACCUCCGUAUGGGGUAUCACCAGAUUCACAUUCGUGAAGAAUAUAUCGCAAAGACAGCUUUUAGAAUGAGCUUUGGUUCUUAUGAAUACACUGUCAUGUCUUUCGGGCUUGCAAAUGCCCCUCCAACAUUCUCUCGUAUGAUGAACAUCAUCUCAACCCCUACACCAAUGAAUUCGUCCUGGUGUAUCUCAAUGAUAUCCUGGUUUGCUCCAAGAAUAAAGAGGAUCACGCUAAACAUUUGCGAUUGGUGCUCGAUGAUGUCUACUAUGCAACUUUAUCCUUGUAGACGUUGUUGAGCCUCCAAGUGCAGAGGUUUGUAGCACAGUAGCAAAUUUCCCUCAAGUGGAUGACCUAAGGUUUAUCAAUCCGUGGGAGGCGUAGGAUGAAGAUGGUCUCUCUCAGACAACCCUGCAAGCAAAUAACAAAGAGUCUCUUGUGUCCCCAACACACCCAAUACAAUGGUAAAUUGUAUAGGUGCACUAGUUCAACGAAGAGAUGGUGAUACAAGUGCAAUAUAGAUAGUAGAUAUAGGUUUUUGUAAUCUGAAAAAUAUAAGAACAACAAGGUAGAAAGUAACAAAAGUGAGCGAAAAAGGUAUUGCAAUGCUUGGAAACAAGGCCUAGGGUUCAUACUUUCACUAGUGCAAGUUCUCUCAAGAAUGAUAACAUAAUUAGAUCUUAUGGCAAUCCCUCAACGUGCGACAAAAGUCACUCCAAAGUUCCUAUCAUGGAGAACAUAAGAUGAAAUUGCUUGUAGGGUACAAAACCACCUCAAAGUUAUUAUUUCCGAUCAAUCCAUUGGGCUAUUCCUAUAAGUGUCACAAACAGCCCUAGAGUUCGUAGUAAGAUAACACCAUAUGACACACAUCAAUCAACCCUAAUGUCACCUAGAUACUCCAAUGUUACCACAAGUAUCCAUGGGUCAAUUAUAUGAUAAGCAUCAAACAACUUCAGAUUCCGACCAGAGAAACAAGGACGAAAACAUGCAUCAACCCCUAUGCAUAGAUUACCCCAAUGUCACCUCGGGAAUCUGCGAGUUGUGUGCCAAAACAUAGAUCAAGUGAAUCAAUAGAACACCCCAUUGUCACCACGGGUAUCCCACGCAAGACAUACAUCAAGUCUUCUCAAAUCCAUAAUAGUAUUCAAUCCGAUAAUAGUGAAACCUCAAAGGUAAAACUCAAUUUAUCACAAGAAAGUAGAGGGGGAGAAACACCAUAUGAUUCAACUAUAGUAGCAAAGCUCGUGGUACAUCAAGAUCGUGCCAAAUCAAGAACACGAGAGAGAGAGAGAUCAAACACAUAGCUACUGGUACAUACCCUCAGCCCCGAGGGUGAAAUACCCCCUCCUCGUCAUGGAGACCGCAGGGAUGAUGAAGAUGGCCACCGGUGAUGGUUUCCCCCUCCGGCAGGAUGCCAGAACGGGCUCCCCAUUGGUUUUUGGUGGCUAUAGAGGCUUGUGGCGGCGGAACUCCCGACCUAGGCUUAUUUCUGGGGGUUUCUAUAUUUAUAGGAAUUUUUGGCAUCGAGAACAAAUUAGGGGGGGUCCACGAGGAGCCCACAAGACCGGAGGACGCCCUAGGGGGUAGGGGGCGCCCUCCACCCUUGUGGAGGCCUCGUGGCUCUUCUGGCCCAACUCUUUUGCUUCGGGGGCUUCUUCUGGUCCAUACAAAAUCACCAUAAAUUUUCAGCUCAUUUGGACUCCGUUUGAUACUCCUUUUCCGCGAAACUCAAAAACAAGGAAAAAACAGAAACUGGCACUGGGCUCUAGGUUAAUAGGUUAGUCCCAAAAAUCAUAUAAAAUAGCAUAUAAAACAUCCAAGAUAGAUAAUAUAAUAGCAUGGAACAAUAAAAAAUUAUAGAUACGUUGGAGACGUAUCACUCGACAGUCUCAAAGAGUAUCAGUUCUAUGCAAAGUUCUCUAUAUGCGAAUUUUGGCUUGAUGAAGUUCUUUACCUUGGUCAUAUCAUCUCUGCCAAGGGCAUUUCUGUCGAUCUGGAAAAGUUGGCUUCAAUUGUCAACUGGGAGCCUCCUCAGAACGUCAAGUAGCUUUGCAGCUUCCUCGGGCUUGCAAGCUAUUGCAGAAGGUUUGUGGAGAACUUCUCUAAAAUUGCUAAGCCUCUAUCCAACCUCCUCCAGAAGAAUGUCAGAUACUCCUGGACUCCUGAGUGUGAUGUGGCCUUCAAUACUCUCAAAGAGAAACUCGUCAUAGCUCUGGUUCUUACUCCUCCUGAUGAGUCCAAGCCCUACCUCUCUGUCGCCAGCUCGAAUAGCUAGCCCUCGCAUGGUGCUAGGCUAAGCGGCGCAACGCCUCUCCUAGUAACAGCAGUAGCUGCAGCGCAGUGGUUGUGCCCCUGUGGAUCAACCCGGGAGACCUGGGUUCGAAUCUCAGGCUCUACAUUUUUUGGGCGUGGUCUUUUUCUUCUCUUUGUGCCACUGACCGAAGGGCCCCACAUGUCAUACUCUCACAGGGGACCAGGUCCCACCUAUCAUCCCCUCUUCCCUCUUUUUUCUUUUUGUUUAUUUCAUUUUUCCAGAAUAUUCCAUUUCAGGCAGAGAGCAUCUUUCCUUUUCAGGCAAGUCCAGUUCUGGACAUUCCAUUUAUGGAAAUUUGCCAUUUCUGUUCAAUUCCAUAUUAGGCAGGUUCUAACUUAAUGCAUUUGUGGUUAUUUCUCUACUGGUACAUAGACAUAUUAUAUAUGUUUUGGGGGUAGAAAAAUCCCACCAAUCCAGUG
rnacentral:lncRNA from 1 species